GGCGGGGGGGAGGGAAGAGAGACAGAGAGAGCUACGUUAGGGCGAGCGCUGAGCCGCUGCGGGGCGCCGCGGCGGUCCUCCCUCCUCUCCCGCUGGGCCGCUCCUCUGCCCCCCCGAGUGUUUCUUCUCCUGCGGGGAAAGCGCAGCUGAAGGAAUAAAAAUAACCCCCGGACCCGAGCUCGGCAGUAGCACAGCCCCCGGGUGCUUCCGCACGCCCUGCUGAAUAAUGCAGGUGACCUCAGGUGCCUCCCGCUUGGCAGGGGAUGCGUUCUGUUGGCGGCACGGAGUGCUGGGGAGCCCCUGCGGAACGGGACGGCCGAAAGCCACAGUUCUGUUCACCUCUGAAUUUGUUUGAAUUGCAGCCCUGGCGUUACUUCGCCUCCCGGGGCAGCGGGCACAGGGCUGGCUUUACUCAGGCACUGCGCGAAGGCACUGUAGUGCUUAAAAACCUAUGCAUACAUCUAAGAAGAAAACAACAAAACAUCAUCGUCAGUGUUGUGUAGAUGUCUCUGGCAUGGGAGGCAGCAGCUGUUUAACACAGAAUAGCAACGCUACGACGUCGAGGGCCAGCAGAAAGAAGAAAGGACCAAAUGUGCCAUACUAGAAUCACUGAAGAAAAAGAAAUACAUGGUUACAAGUAGGAACGGG
rnacentral:lncRNA from 1 species